rnacentral:lncRNA from 1 species
GAGGCGCUGGUAGGUGAAGCUGAGCAGCUGGUGGCUGAGGGGCCACACUUAGGAGCAGGACAGCGCUAAGAGGAUCGCCUGCUCCCCACUGAGAGGGCGAUUGCAGGCAGCUGGUGUGGACUCCUCUUAUAAUCCGCGAAGGAAGGAAGGAAGCCCAGCUGUGACCGACUCGUGUUCCCAGUGGCUGCUCCUGUCUUGUGGCCUGGCGGGAUGAAGGGCUCUGUGCUCCUGGGCGGGUCCCUCCUCCUCUCUCUGUUGGUUUGGAAAUCCUGUGAACUUGAACCAGUGUGGGUGAUUUGUACCGAAAUCUGGCUACGGGUUAGACUGGAUCGAUACCCUCUACUGGACAACCUGCAAGUCCAGUCACAGGAGUUAACCCUGGGACAUGGCUGCCCAGUCUCCAUCAUGCUGCCUGAGUACUUUGACUUCAUGUAUCAUCUAACUUCAUGUGGCAUUGGUGUCUAUGAACAACCAUCGGGUAUUUUCAUUGCAACUGCAGUCACAUAUAGUCCGCUGCAUUUAGGUCUUCCUUCUUUCUACUACAACAUAACAUGCUUUCUUCCAAGAAACAAGCCACUGAGCUUUCAAACAAGGAAAAUACAUCAUAGCCAUAAUCACCUAGAGGGAGCAAGACAGACUUGGUUGCGGUCAGGUGAAAUGGAAUACCCAGGAAGACUUCUAGGUGCAUUGUCGUGGUGAGAGAAUUUUCAUGUAGUAACAUAGAUGCUUACAUUUAUGAAACCAGGCCAGGGAUUGGUGAAAUGAUGACACAUAGCACACUUUGUAGAUCAUGUGCAUGUAUGAGUUUAGGCCAGGAC